UACGAAGGGGGCUAGCGUUGUUCGGAUUAACUGGGCGUAAAGGGCGCGCAGGCGGCUCUGAAAGUCAGAUGUGAAAGCCCCGGGCUUAACCUGGGAAUUGCAUUUGAUACUCUGGAGCUUGAGUGUGGGAGAGGAGAGUGGAAUUCCCAGUGUAGAGGUGAAAUUCGUAGAUAUUGGGAAGAACACCGGUGGCGAAGGCGGCUCUCUGGACCACAACUGACGCUGAGGCGCGAAAGCGUGGGGAGCAAACAGG
rnacentral:rRNA from 1 species